AUAUUUAACUGGCAAAGAAGAUACCAUGGUCAUGAAGAUGUUUUUUUUUCCAGGGAGAACCUUCUCCACUGCAUUCCAGAUGUGCUGACCCCUACAAUUUUCCCAAAUGUGGGAAACUCUACUUCAUAAUUUAUGGUAGUAGAGAACAAAUUUAGCACUCUUG